AUUGAACGCUGGCGGCAGGCUUAACACAUGCAAGUCGAGCGGGGUGAUGGUGCUUGCACUAUCACUUAGCGGCGGACGGGUGAGUAAUGCUUAGGAAUCUGCCUAUUAGUGGGGGACAACAUCUCGAAAGGGAUGCUAAUACCGCAUACGUCCUACGGGAGAAAGCAGGGGAUCACUUGUGACCUUGCGCUAAUAGAUGAGCCUAUGUCUGAUUAGCUAGUUGGCGGUGUAAUGGACCACCAAGGCGAUGAUCAGUAACUGGUCUGAGAGGACGAUCAGUCUAACCGGAACUGAGACACGGUCCGGACUCCUACGGGAGGCAGCAGUGGGGAAUAUUGGACAAUGGGCGAAAGCCUGAUCCAGCAAUUCCGCGUGUGUGAAGAAGGCCUUCGGGUUGUAAAGCACUUUCAGUAAGGAGGAAGCGUUGAGUGUUAAUAGUACUCAGCGUUGACGUUACUUACGGAAGAAGCACCGGCUAACUCUGUGCCAGCCGCCGCCGUAA
rnacentral:rRNA from 1 species